CAGACGACUCUCGGCAACAGAUAUUUAGGCUAUCGUAUCAAUGAAGAACGUAGCGAAAUGUGAUACCUGGUGUGAAUUGCAGAAUCCCGUGAACCAUCGAGUCUUUGAACGCAAGUUGCGCCCAAGGCCAUCCGGGCGAGUGCACGCCUGCUUGGGUGUCAUGC
rnacentral:rRNA from 1 species